CAGUUUUCCUGAAAGAAGAAAAGGAACCUAGAGAGUGAGGAACAGAACAGCUGUUUUCAUCUGAAACCAGGUUCUCAGGUAAAGGAACUCUAAGAACUAAGAGAACUGACAAUCAGAAAACAAAUAUUCACAUAGUAGACUUAUAAAGACUAAUGGGGAGGAAAGUAAGAAAAAUAAAGGAUAUGGAGAGAACAACAUUCAACUGGCAAUACCAUUCCUCUGCGCCUUUGAUUGAACUGAUCCAGUCAUCAUGAAUCAAGCAUUGCUCUGGCUGUGGUGCGCUGUACUUCUCCACAUAUUCAAGUUCCACAACCUCUUCCUAGUACAGAGAAAAACCAGAAAUAAGUCCAGUGAUACAGAUAA